rnacentral:lncRNA from 1 species
GAACGUUUGUGUUUAUUUAUUCAUCUUUGAAGAACCCGCCUUUGUCAGCGAAGUCUCGCGAGAUUUGUGCUGAAGUUCGGCAUUUCAGUAAUUCAUAGAGUUAGGCGAAUAUGAUGGCGGAAAUUUAAAAAAACCUGUUUUACAUCUUCAAUUAUGAACAAGACAUCUACUCCACCUAUAGUCAAGUCACAGUUGAGCAGCAGUUUAAAAGAAAGGCUGAAAAAAUGUGGUCGUUACCAUGCUUCUCCUGAACCUGUUGCCAGGGAACCAAAAAUUCCAGUUGGUGCCCCAACAGAAGAAAGGAAACAGACUGAUUUAAUAGAAAAAAGUGCAUCCUUUUCACCACAAAUUAAGAGGCAGUGCAUGAACUGAUCAGUCAGGUACUCUUCACAGAGGAGACAAGGAGUUUACUGAUUGCCAUAGUAACAAGACAUCAUCGUUGGUCAGUGUGUCUACUCUCUCUCAUCAGCCCUCUAGUUUACAUGUAGAUAAAACAAAAUUAGAUGAAAAAGCUGCAGAAUGUAAUGCCAGUAACAGUUCCUUGAAUCAAACACCAUUAACGCAAAGGUCAAGGUCAUCUGCAUCUCGGGCCAAAGGCAGCAAACUUUCUUUUGAAGAUGCAAACAAAGAAAAUGACACAGCUCUGGAAAAUCCUAGAGGCACUUCUUCAGAACAGUCCGACAGAAGUGAUUUAGCUGAUCUCGAUCCAUCUGUAGUGUCAUCAAGGUCAAGGUUAUUGAAAGAAGUUGAAACUAAAAGAGGAACAAUUACGGAAGCUAAGGAUGGUUAAAAUGUACAGAUCAAAGAAUAAUCUGGAAGAGUUACAGAUCUUGAUAGAUAAAUGGCGAGCUGUUUCCCAGCAGGCAGUGCAGGAUCUCCAUGCAGCUAUGCCGGAACCCAGACCAUCUCUUACAGAACUUAUAAACCAUCUCGGAAUAGACCAUGAGCUUCUUCAUUUUAGUGCAGAGGAUGACGAAACUUUCUUUUAAUGAAGUCUUGACCUAUAUUUCUCAAUUUUUGAAGUCAAAAUGUGAGGCUUUAUGUUUGCAUUUUUGUGCCCACCCAUAAGUGGUGGGGGCAUAUAGAUUUGGUCUUGUCCGUGCGUGCAUGUGUGCGUCCGUCCAUCCAAAGUUCGUGACGCGCCUAGCUCAGA